rnacentral:lncRNA from 1 species
UCUAAAUAAUUAAAUGAGAGUAAUGCAUUAUCUUAUAAAUAUUAUUGUGAAAAUACAAUUUUUCAUAUUGUGGAGAUUUGUAAAUAUUUGAACUCUUUAUGAAUUAUUUUUGGUGAUGAUUACCAAUGAAAAUUUCUUGUCAUUUGAUGUUCAAUCUCUCCAUAAAGUUACAUUGAUGAUUGCAAGAAUGGGUGAAAAAUAGGAAACCAAAGAUUUCCAAGUCUGAGCUUGAAAGUUUGAUUCUAGAGUAAGAAACGUUGAUCUCAAGGUGUACAAUAACCUUAAAUAGAUACUAGAAGUGUCAAGAAUCGAUCUCAAGCAAGGAAGGGUUAUGUCACAACCCGGUACUCCCCUCCAGCCCGUGACAACCACCACGACGUCCCAAUAGAUAUUCAUUGCCCAAAAUGCCAACCGGAACCUCGCAAGGCUUUAAUAUCAGUUUUCGCACCUUCCCUGUGAGCAACAGUUGUUAAGUAUCAUAUUUUGAGAGAUUAUAAACCAUUUCCAAAUCAAAACAAUAGAAAAAUAAUUUUUUUCUCACAGGGGCAUUUUGGUCAUUUUUCUUUAAAAAUCUCAAAACCAGCUAAAAAUGUAGUAUGCAAGUGGAAAACGCAUAUUUCAUAAUCAAAAAUAAGUUUAGAUAUCUAAAACAAUCAUUUAAAGUGAAUCUAUACCUAUUUGAAUAUAAUAAAAAUAUUCAAUAAAAUAUUCUAUUUUCUUAUAAAACAAUAUUUAUAGAGUUACCGGUAGAUAAUUUUUAUAGUGUAAAAGCUAAAUAAAUUCAUACAUACUGUAAUACAGAUAACCAAAGCAUAAGAUUUAAUUUACAGUGACACAUGGGCCCACGAACAACCAAAAGUAUCAAAAGCGGUAAACCUACAGUUUUUAAGGAUGCAAGUUCAACUGUAGCCCUCAACGAAAUGAGCUAUCUACUGACUAUCCUGAGCCUGAAAGGGGUGAAAAGGAGGGUGAUGAGAUUAUAAAAUCCUAGUGAGUAAACAAAUACCAUCUAAAAUAUCUAAAGCUGAGUAAAUAGAGACAGAUAAAAUAGAUUAGCAUAAAAAUGAUUCAUAGCAUUUUGAACUCAUUUUAAUAAAAUAAAAUAGAUUCAUUUCACCCAAAUAAACAACGAGGCUUAUGAUUUCCUGAAAAGCUUGGCUCGUGCCAAAAUCAUUCUCAUACUCAGUUAUCAGGGAUACCUUGGCCUGGGACUAUCCCAACCGAGUCCGCCAAGGCUGUUAAAAAGUCAUGUACGCAUAAAUUAUGUUUUUAUUUUGAAAACAUAGUCAUUCCUUGGCGUUGGUUGAGUUCACCCUCACGUGGUGGUUUAACGUGAAGUGAACUCUAAAGUUGUACCUCAGGAGUUACUCUACGGGCCUCCCUAAUCGAGGUAAGAAUAUAACGGGAUUUCGUGCCCCUCAAAAAGGUCGGUCCACAGAACCCGCCCACUGCAGAAAGCUAAACCCACCAUAUAAUAAAAUUUGUAAUAGCAUGACAUGGCAAUUAUUUUAUUUUACAGCCUCUCAAGGUAAAUCAACAGUUCAUACAUUUUCAGCACAUUUACCAAUUCAACCAUUCAUGCCAAUAUUAUCAUAAGCCAUUCAAUUCAAACCAUGAUUUAUAACACAACAAUUUGUCUCCAAUUACUCCAUUUUCAAAACCAUCUUUCAAUUUCAAAACAAUUUUAUAAAAUCAUUUCAUUAAUCACAUUUUGCUUAUAAAACAUAAAGAUUUACCAUUUAAACUCAUUUUCCAUAAAAUCACAAAAACGAAUUAAAAUUCACUUCAAAUAAUCAAGAUGAUGAUAAGGUUACUCACUGUAUCAGGAGUUUGAAAUACUCCUAUUCUCAGUCCUCUGACACAACAUCUUUACCCUUGUUAGAAGGCUCACCACGUAUAUACAAUACACGACACAUAAUUCAAUAUACUGUGUCAUACCAUUAUAAAUCUAUUUCAGGCUCUUUACUAAUGCAUGAAAUGGGAUGUGAAACCCUCGGGUAACCAUCUAAAUACGAUGUUCAAUAUAAGUCCAAUUGUGUACCUAAAUAAAAUAGUAUUGGCCUAAUUCGAUCUAUCACUCGAUUAAUUGGCCAAUACGUCCAAUUCAACUCCAAAUAAUUCCAUUUUUCUCCCAAUACUCCAAAUCAUCAAACACAAAUUAAAUAACUUGAAAUAUGGCAAAACCAUCUUCACAUUUUCUCUUGAGAAUUUCGGUCAUGGUGGGUGCAUCAACACUAUGAUUUUCCCUAAUUGAUUUUCUCACCGUAGUUCAUCAUUUCCUAACCAAUUCACUUGAAAUAAAAUCAAAUCCACCAUCCACACUCUACAUGGAAGAUUCGGCCAAUGAUGGGUGAUGGGAGAAAAUGAAUUUUUCUUGUUUAUUUUUCAUGCUACACAUCACUAAUCAACUAAAAACACUAGAAUAUCUUAAAAUCUAACCAAAACAACCAUCAAAAUCUCUCUCUAAGUGUUCAGCCAGCAAGAUACCCAUCAUGAAAUCAUGUGAUUCAACCAUGGAAAAUGCAAAAGAAUGUAUGGGAAAGGUAGAUCACAAGUCAAAAUCAAGAAAUUUUACCUUUGAUUGCUUGAUUACUUGAAAUCCACCAAUUUUCUCUUGAAUUUUCACUCUAGGGUUUUUGUUCUUUCUUUUCUUCCUUUGUUCUUACUUUGGC